GUACACGUCGCUGGUGCUUUUCCGAGUGGGGGGUCGUGUGGAUGGAAGGUGCACAAUAUGGAUGAAGAACCAACAAUCCUUAAAACUCUUGGAGAAGAUGGGGUCUACAGCAAGUUUUUGGGGGCAGAGUUUGAUGUUAACAAGGAGGCAAGCACCCUUCUGCAGUCAGCUGCUUUGUCUGAGCAGCUGGGACACAUCAUUAAAGG